rnacentral:rRNA from 1 species
CUUGACUGUAUCCUGGAAUUGGGUUCGGGCUUUUCUUGCGCAGUAUAGGUGGGAGGCGUUGAAAAUUUUCUUGCGGGAAGAUUGGAGCCAUCAGUGAGAUACCACUCUUGUAAUGUUAGAUUUCUAACUUUGGAUCAUGAUCUGGUCAAAGGACAGUUUCAGGCGGGCAGUUUGACUGGGGCGGUCGCCUCCCAAACGGUAACGGAGGCGUACAAAGGUUUCCUCUGAACGGGUAGAAAUCGUAUCUAGAGUGUAAAGGCAUAAGGAAGCUUGACUGUGAGACCUACAAGUCGAGCAGGGACGAAAGUCGGUCUUAGUGAUCUGACGGUGCUGAGUGGAAAGGCCGUCACUCAACGGAUAAAAGUUA